GGGAUACAAAUAAAUAUCGUAGCGUGUGGUUUGCUGGCACAGCGUCCGCCCAAGUAUUUUUCACCCAUGUCUUUUGCGCACUUUUUGUUUCCUGGGCGAGUUCCUCGCCCCAGGACCAACCAUAAACCUUUUUUUAUGCAGUUGCAAUCAGCCCCCAAUAAUAAUUCAAUUUAUUAAAACUUUCAACAACGGAUCUCUUGGUUCUGGCAUCAAUGAAGAACGCAGCGAAACGCGAUACGUAGUGUGAAUUGCAGAAUUCAGUGAAUCAUCGAAUCUUUGAACGCACAUUGCGCCCUUUGAUAUUCCAAAGGGCAUGCCUGUUCGAGCGUCAUUUGUACCCUCAAGCUUUGCUUGGUGUUGGGCGUCUUUUUGUCUCUCCCCUUGUUGGGGAGACUCGCCUUAAAACGAUUGGCAGCCGACCUACUGGUUUUCGGAGCGCAGCACAAUUUGCGCCUUCCAAUCCACGGGGCGGCAUCCAGCAAGCCUUUGUUUCUAUAACAAAUCCACAUUUUGAACUCGCAUCAGGUAGGGAUACCCGCUGAACUUAAGCAUAUCAUAGCCGAAGAA
rnacentral:rRNA from 1 species